GAUGAACGCUAGCGGCAGGCCUAAUACAUGCAAGUCGAACGGUAGAUUACUUUCGGGUAAUUGAGAGUGGCGCACGGGUGCGUAACGCGUAUGCAACCUACCCUAUACAGGGGGAUAGCCCGGAGAAAUCUGGAUUAAUACCCCAUGGUACCAAGUUGAGGCAUUUUGAUUUGGUUAAAGAUUCAUCGGUAUAGGAUGGGCAUGCGUCUGAUUAGCUAGUUGGCGGUGUAGCGGACCACCAAGGCGACGAUCAGUAGGGGUUCUGAGAGGAAGGUCCCCCACACUGGCACUGAGAUACGGGCCAGACUCCUACGGGAGGCAGCAGUAGGGAAUAUUGGGCAAUGGACGAGAAGUCUGACCCAGCCAUGCCGCGUGCAGGAAGACGGCGUUCUGCGUUGUAAACUGCUUUUAUCUGGGAAGAAAAGGCCCAUGCGUGGGACAUUGCCGGUACCAGAUAAUAAGCACCGCUAACU
rnacentral:rRNA from 1 species